UGUCUUCUCAUAUGUUCUUUGCAGACUUUGAUCCCCUUAAGGAUGUAAAUGCUGCCUUUUCUUUCUGAGUCCUCAGCCCAAAGUCCAGUGUUUGACAUGUAAUAACUAUGUGUUGAAUGAAUGUUGCUGAAAGUCAGAACUAGCUAACAUUUAUUGAGGACUUACUUUGUAGUAAAUAUUUGACUAGUAUUCUCAUUUAAUCCCUACUAAUGUGUCCCUAGACUGUGGUUUUUCUUGUGGUUUUGCAGACAAGGAAACUAAGGCUAAGGGAGAUGAAACAGCUUGCCUAAAAGUCACACAAAUAAAAAUGAUAGAGAUGGAAUUAGAAACUAGGAAUAUCUGAACCUGUGUCUGUCACUUGGUCUUUUAAGGUGAGAGUGCCUACACCAGCCUUUGGGCAUCAUAUGAUCCCCAGGGAUUGAUCAAGAUAACAGUAGGAGGUUCUGAACCUGAAUAUCUCCUGAUACUUAUAAUGGCAUCAUGGCCUCCUAUUUUCAGGGGGAAAACUCAUCUAAUACUUAAAUUGUAGUUUUUAGUGCAUGGAUCUCUGAAUAUCAGAAGAUUGCCUUCAAAAUGUUAUUUAGAUGCAUCUUAUGAAAUGGAUAUAUUCUAGGACUAUGUCAGUGUAGUACAAUCUGCUAAAGUAAGUUCUGCAUCACAAUGGCUUUUGGAAAUGUUGAGAUGUGUUCCUGGGAUAUUAGUUUGACUUCCAGAAAAAAAAUUCUCAUUGAAAAGGUUUUCUCCCCACCUAUGAGGAGCUCCAUUCUUUCUUUUAAAUUGACCAGACAUCCUGCCAGUUUGUGUAAGUGUGUGCUUGUGAACCCAUGUGCUUUUAUGUGCAUACGUGAGCUCAGGGGUAGAGCAAGUCAGAGGGAGUGUUGGCAGGAGACAAUAUGGAAAAUGGAAAAUCAUGGCAGACUUCUUUGUGUGCCAAGUUUGAAUAUGAAACCUAUUGCUCCUGAUGAAAACAAAACCAAAAUAAAAUGCUGUGGGUGAAAUAAUUUCUGACAAUGUAGCUACACUCAUAGAUUGUGUAAAAGAAUAGAAAAUUGCAGCUGCCAGUUGUGAAUCGAGUCUUUGGAUUUUUUUUCCCCAUUUUCGUGUGUCACAUAAUACCCCUUAUUUCUGCGUAUCUGAGGGCUAAUAGUAUAAAAUGCUUACCAAUCUGACUCUAUUUUCCUCUUUUUAAUAAAAUUUGGAAUAAAAUUUAUGAUCAUAACAAA
rnacentral:lncRNA from 1 species